rnacentral:tRNA from 1 species
GGGGAUUUAGCUCAGUGGUUGAGCGUUUGCCUAGCAAGCGCAAGGCCCUGGGUUCGGUCCCCAGCUCCG